ensembl:lncRNA
GGUAUGGGGUCAUUGGGCUGUGGGGGUUCAUUGGUGUGGGGUCACUGAAUGGGGUCAUUGAUGUGGGGUCGUAGGGUGUGGGGUCAUUAAUUGGGGCCGUUGAGUGGAGUGAUUGAUGUGGGGUCAUUGAAUGGGGUCAUUGAUGUGGGGUCGUAGGGUGUGGGGUCAUUAAUUGGGGCCGUUGAGUGGGGUGAUUGAUGUGGGGUCAUUGGUGUGGGGUCAAUGAGCGGGGGCAGUGGUGUGGGGUCGUUGGGUGUGGGGUCAUUAAUUGGGGCCAUGGUGUGGGGUCGUUGAGUGGGGUCACUGAGUGGGGUUAAUGAGUGGGAACAUUGGGCAUGGGGUCAUUGGUGUGGGGUCAUUGAGUGGGAACAUUGGGUAUGGGGUCAUUGGUGUGGGGUCAUUGGUGUGGGGUCAUUGGUGUGGGGUCACUGAAUGGGGUCAUUGGUGUGGGGUCGUUGGGUGUGGGGUCAUUAAUUGGGGCCGUUGAGUGGGGUGAUUGAUGUGGGGUCAUUGUGUUGGGUUAUUGGUUUGGGGUCACUGAUGUGGGGUCAUUGUGGUGUGUCAUUAAUGUGGGGUCAUUGGUGUGGGGCCAUUGGUGUGGGGUCACUGAAUGGGGUCAUUGAUGUGGGGUCGUAGGGUGUGGGGUCAUUAAUUGGGGCCGUUGAGUGGAGUGAUUGAUGUGGGGUCAAUGAGUGGGGUCAAGGAGUGGGGACAGUGGUGUGGGGUCACUGAGUGGGAACAUUGGGUAUGGGGUCAUUGGAGUGGGGUCUUUGGUGUGGGGUCAUUGGUGUGGGGUCAGUGUUGUGGGGUCAUUAAUUGGGGUCACUGAUGUGGGGUCACUGGUGUGGGGUCAUUGUGUUGGAUUAUUGAUGUGGGUCAUCGGUGUGGGGUCACUGAAUGGGGUCACUGUUGUGGGGUCACUGUUGUGGGGUCAGUGUUGUGGGGUCAUUGGUGUGGGGUCAUUGGUGUGGGGUCACUGAAUGGGAUCACUGGUGUGCGGUCAUUGAUGUGGGGUCAUUGGUGUGGGGUCAGUGUUGUGGGGUCAUUAAUUGGGGUCACUGAAUGGGGUCAUUGGUGUGGGGUCACUGAUGUGGGGUCAUUGAGUUGGAUCACUGUUGUGGGGUCAUUGGUGUGAGGUUAUUGUGUGGGGUCACUGAAUGGGGUCAUUGUGUUGGAUUAUUGAUGUGGGUCAUUGGUGUGGGGUCAUUGUGUGGGGUCAGUGUUGUGGGGUCAUUGGUGUGGGGUCAAUGAAUGGGGUCACUGUUGUGGGGUCAUUGAAUGGGAUCACUGGUGUGCGGUCAUUGGUGUGGGGUCAUUGAUGUGGGGUCAUUGGUGUGGGCUCAGUGUUGUGGGGUCAUUAAUUGGGGUCAUUGAUGUGGGGUCAUUGAGUUGAAUCACUGUUGUGGGGUCAUUGGUGUGGGGUCACAGAAUGGGGUGACUGUUGUGGGGUCAUUAGUGUGGGGUCACUGAGUGGGGUCAUUGUUGUGGGGUCACUGAAUGGGGUCACAGAAUGGGGUGACUGUUGUGGGGUCACUGUUGUGGGGUCACUGUUGUGGGGUGACUGUUGUGGGGUCAUUGUUGUGGGGUGACUGUUGUGGGGUCACAGAAUGGGGUCACAGAAUGGGGUCAUUGUUGUGGGGUGACUGUUGUGGGGUGACUGUUGUGGGGUC